AUGCGCGGNUAGGCAUGCAGUCGAGCGAUCGGUUCUGACUUCGGUUAGAAUACGGAGCGGCAAACGGGUGAGUAACACAUUAGUAAUCUACCUUCGAGACGGGAAUAGCCCAAAGAAAUUUGGAUUAAUGCCCGAUGGUCAUGGGGGGACAUAUGUCAUUCCCAUGUAAAUCCUACGGGGCUCGGAGAGGAGCUUAUGUCUGAUUAGCUUGUUGGUAAGGUAAAAGCUUACCAAGGCUAUGAUCAGUAGCAGGCGUGAGAGCGUGACCUGCCUCACUGGGACUGAGACACUGCCCAGACUCCUACGGGAGGCUGCAGUCAAGAAUAUUCCGCAAUGGACGAAAGUCUGACGGAGCGACGCCGCGUGCAGGAAGACGCCCUUCGGGGUGUAAACUGCUUUUAUAUGGGAAGAAUUCGUGACGGUACCAUAUGAAUAAGAGGUUGCUAACUCUGUGCCAGCAGCAGCGGUAAUACAGAGACCUCGAACGUUAUCCGGAUUCAUUGGGCGUAAAGCGUCCGCAGGUGGUUUGAAAAGUUGAUGGUCAAAUCCUAGAGCUUAACUUUAGGACUGCCGUCAAUACUGUCAAACUUGAGGCUGGGAGAGGCAAGCGGAAUUCUCGGUGUAGUCGUAAUAAGCGCUGAUAUCGAGAAGAACACCAAAGGCGAAGGCAGCUUGCUAGAACAUGCCUGACACUCAUGGACGAAAGCGUGGGUAGCGAAGGGGAUUAGAUACCCCCGUAGUCCACGCCCUAAACGAUGUGCACUAGGCAUUGGAAGUAUCGACCCUUUCAGUGCCGUUUAAAAAAGCUAACGCGUUAAGUGCACCGCCUGGGGAGUACGGCCGCAAGGUU
rnacentral:rRNA from 1 species